AGCGUGUUAAGGUGUUUCAUUGAGGGCAGAGUAUAUUUUCCUUAGCUGUAUUUUGACACUCAGCACUCGGCGGCUGGGUCUGGGAGGACACACAAUGAAGGACAACGACAGUGAUCAGUUUGGAAAUGGAAUUGACAAUGACGCUUUUGAAAUGGGGGAGGACAGGUUUUCUGACAAAGGAAGCAUCAAAAAUCUGAGUAAAAAGACAAAGAAAGGAUUGGGAACAUACUUGAGGUUUGUGAAGUUCAGAUAUUUGAUAUCUCACUUUAAUAGAGUG